rnacentral:rRNA from 1 species
AACGAACGCUGGCGGCAGGCCUAACACAUGCAAGUCGAACGCACCGCAAGGUGAGUGGCGCACGGGUGAGUAACACGUGGGAACGUACCCUUUGGUUCGGAAUAACGUCUGGAAACGGACGCUAAUACCGGAUGAGCCCUGUGGGGGAAAGAUUUAUCGCCAAAGGAGCGGCCCGCGUCUGAUUAGCUAGUUGGUGGGGUAAAGGCCUACCAAGGCGACGAUCAGUAGCUGGUCUGAGAGGAUGAUCAGCCACACUGGGACUGAGACACGGCCCAGACUCCUACGGGAGGCAGCAGUGGGGAAUAUUGGACAAUGGGCGCAAGCCUGAUCCAGCCAUGCCGCGUGAGUGAUGAAGGCCUUCGGGUUGUAAAGCUCUUUCGCACGCGACGAUGAUGACGGUAGCGUGAGAAGAAGCCCCGGCUAACUUCGUGCCAGCCGCCGCCGUAA